UCGAAUAGCUAUGGUUUCAAAGGAACCAUAUAAUGAGAAAGGCUUGGAAAAAGUUCUGUCUUGAGUCGGAUGAGUCAGAACCAUGCUCGAAAUGCUUUGGUUACGCCGGAGCAAGGCCUGAGAGGCCAUGGAACCUUGGAUUGGUGAAGAUCUGAACAGACAUCAUCUAGGUCAGACGUUGAAACUUCAAGCAUCAAGCAUUUAAGAGUGGAGGAAGGUGUGUAUAGGCUAUCCAUGGCAUGAGAAGCCAUGUAUUCCGGUGAGAUUGCGGUUAAAAAUGGUAGAAGAUGGUUAGGGUUUCAAGGACCUUCGAGAGAAUUUGAGAGAUGGAAGGUAUUCAGAGG
rnacentral:lncRNA from 1 species